rnacentral:lncRNA from 1 species
CCAAGUUGGUAGAAAGCGGCCUCCAGGCCUUGCGAGGAUGAGCCCGGCGUCCCAGUCGCGAGGAUGGGGCAGCAGGGCGGGCGACUGGGCGUGUGGGAGGGAGGGAGCAGCUCGGGGCGGUGGGAGGGGGGUGGUGGGGCGGCGAACCGGAUAUCCCAUACAUCCACACUACACAACACCCCCCGAUGGGCUCACCACUCCCGACCCUUCGCGCCCACGUGCCAGGAGGCAGACUGCCCGACCGGUGCGCGGCAGCCGCGAGGGACCGGUGGCCACUCGCGCGCGGCGGGCGCGGGGCGGCCCCGACGUUUGGGCAGCGAACGAGAGGCGGACCGCGGUGCCCGGGGUCUCACCGCCAGCGGCCUCCAAGCACCAAGGCGGCCCCGCGCGGCACCUGGAGCAGCCGACUGGCCUUCGGCGGGCCCGCGGCUCCCACCACCACCGCCGCCAUCGCGGCCAGCACCGGGAACCCUCUUCCCUGCGCACGCUGCAGGCCGACCCCAAACCUUCCGGGCGCCCACCAGGCCCAUGCGGGGCACCGCCAACCUGGUCCCGAAGGCGCGCACCCGGGGACAUGGACAACGAGCCAACCAGUGGCCGGCGGCGGCGCCACACAAGGCGGAGCCGGGUUUGGUCCCAGACGGGGCCACCACAGCCUAAGCCGGUGAGCCGCUCGGGGAGAGAGGAUCCGCGGGUGGGGAGGGGGGCACAGACAGGCAGGGCCAGGGACCCCGAGGGCAAGGGCACCCGGGAGCCCGCAGAGGGGCGGCUCAGGGAGAAACCUCAGGCAAGGCCGGGCCACCAGGAAAACACGGCCACGGGAUCCCACCGCCACAGACACUAGGGAAGUCCCGUGGUGCCCCGCCUAGGACGCCGGACGGCCCUCGGCACCCACGGAGACCCGCCUCACGAGCCCAGGUCCCGCCAUGGGGAUCCAGAAGCGACUUCAGCCACAAACCCAACUCCAGGGCCACGUUGCUCGUUUCUGGUCCAUCCUCCGACCCGGUCAAGCUCUGGGAGACCGGCGCGCCCCCCACUUGGGACACUUCCCAUGGCCAGGCGGCCCAACGCCCUGCCACGCAAACGCGGUCGUCGGCACCGGUCGCUGCUCCUCAGGGGAGCGGGCGGAGAGCCGGCUCGCAGCGGAGCGGGUCACGAGCCGGACGGAACGCCGGGCACAGCCACCGCUUGCGCAGCCUCCCAACCGCUAGGACGCAGGCCCGGCCUGGCAGGAUCCUCCCCCGACUCCGAAGGGGGAGGCGCGGGCCACACAGUAGGCGACGAGACGCCCUCCGUCCCCACCGCUGAGGCCAG